UACGAAGGGGGCGAGCGUUGUUCGGAAUUACUGGGCGUAAAGCGCACGUAGGCGGUCUUUUAAGUCAGGGGUGAAAUCCUGGAGCUCAACUCCAGAACUGCCUUUGAUACUGGGAGACUUGAAUCCGGGAGAGGUGAGUGGAAUUCCGAGUGUAGAGGUGAAAUUCGUAGAUAUUCGGAAGAACACCAGUGGCGAAGGCGGCUCACUGGACCGGCAUUGACGCUGAGGUGCGAAAGCGUGGGGAGCAAACAGG
rnacentral:rRNA from 1 species